UGGGGCACCUGGGCUGGGCUCUGGGCUCAGCAAGCAGCGCUGCGUGCCCGCAGCAGCUCCUGCUGCCCGUCCCGUGUGGGGAACCCUCCCGUGCCCCCAUGGCACCCAAAUCCUGUCCUGCACUGCCAAAGCGGUGCCCACCCAAACGCGGCCGGGAUGAGCCAUCCGUGUGCCCGCAGCCCGGCCCUUGUGGCCCAUGGAUCAUCGCCCGCCCCUCCGGAGGUGCCCAGACACCCAAAUUUAGGACUCUGGGUACUGACUGUGCGCAGCAGAACUGAGGGGCUGCCUCGAGCCAGGUGGCCCCCAGAAUCUCUCUGGGUGACUCCCAAGUGACAUCAGUGACAUCAGCCCAUGGUGAGAUGCCUGCCCAGGGGAGGAGCCGAGCAGUCCCACCUGCAUAUAAGCCAGCACUUGGAGCACCAGGAGCAUUUUGCCUGCAGAGUUCCCAGAGGAGAAGAGGCCCAGGAUCCCAGGGGACCUUCAGAGGAGGACCAGGCCCUUCUGCAGGAUCACAGCUCCGACAGAGCCACGUCCAUCCCUCCCAGAGAGCCUCAGCGCCCCCUUGAUCAGACCACCGGCGUGCCAGGUUGUAUUCUGACUCUGUCACUUCAGGCUGCUGCUUUCUGCCUUUCUUUCAUUUCUCCUAUUAAAUUGUAGUUCUGACUUGGGAUCUCCCACUGGUUUGCUGUCAGACUGGUACAUAUUUUGGCACCCUGUGUGGAGCCAGUCCUGAGAGAAGUCAGAAUUGCAAUGUUGUGUUACAGAAACCUCCUGUUCACGGUGCUCAUCGUGCUUACACAGCUCUUACACCUUGCUCUCUGUCUGUUUCCACACAUGGGGAGCUGCCUGUCUGCUGUAGUGCUCCUCUUGAGCUCGGGGAAUGCUCUGGAAAUUGCUUUCUUGGUGUGUUGUAUCUAUUGCAUGAUAACCUCUGGGAAGGGGAACAUAACUUGGGACAAAAAUUCACUUUUGCUCACUUUUCCUGGGCUGGGCUGCAUCUGCAUCCCCCUCAACAAUCACAGCCAGCCCUUGGGGGAAAGAGCAGAGAGUGGUGUCCCCCUGACUUUCACACUUGACAUAGCAGUUUUUGAAAAUUUUGAGUUCCCUCUGGCUGUCAAAGAUGGCAUCAUCAUCUUGCUGUUAGUUCUGCUUUGUGCUCUCUUUAUAGCCUGCACCCUCUACACCCUGUACACCCUGUGCACCAUGCUUAGAGACAGAGGAACACUCAGCCUGGUACAGCAGCGUCGUGAGGAGGAUGAGGAGGAGGGAAGGACAGAGUCAGCAGCCACCACAGCUGCACAGCCUGCCAUGGAGAGAGGAGGAACCAAAGACAGAGGAACAGGCACCACAGCUGCACAGCCUGCCAUGGAGAGAGGAGGAACCAAAGACAAAGGAACAGGCACCACAGCUGCACAGCCUGCCAUGGAGAGAGGAGGAACCAAAGAGAGAGGAACAGGCACCACAGCUGCACAGCCUGCCAUGGAGAGAAAGGGAACCAAAGACAGAGGAACAGGCACCACAGCUGCACAGCCUGCCAUGGAGAGAAAGGGAACCAAAGGAACAGGCACCACAGCUGCACAGCCUGCCAUGGAGAGAGGAGGAACCAACAGCAAAGGAACAGGCACCACAGCUGCACAGCCUGCCAUGGAGAGAAAGGGAACCAAAGACAGAGGAACAGGCACCACAGCUGCACAGCCUGCCAUGGAGAGAAAGGGAACCAAAGGAACAGGCA